GCCGAAGUGGCGGAACUGGCAUACGCGCACGACUCAAAAUCGUGUGGAAGCAAUUCCAUGUGGGUUCAACUCCCAUCUUCGGCACCA
rnacentral:tRNA from 2 species